rnacentral:rRNA from 1 species
GUGUCAGCAGCCGCGGUAAUACAGAGGUCUCAAGCGUUGUUCGGAAUUACUGGGCGUAAAGGGUGCGCAGGCCGCGCGGGCAGUCAAAUGUGUAAUCCAGGGGCUCAACCCCUGAACUGCGCUUGAUACUUCCGCGCUCGAGCUUUGGAGAGGAGUCUGGAAUUCUCGGUGUAGCAGUGAAAUGCGUGGAUAUCGAGAAGAACACUUAGGGCGUAGGCAAGACUCUGGACAAAUGCUGACGCUCAUGCACGAAGGCUAGGGUAGCGAACGGGAUUAGAUACCCCGGUAGUCCUAGCUGUAAACGGUGCACGUUUGGUGUGGGAGGCAACCCCUUCCGUGCCGAAGCUAACGCGAUAAACGUGCCGCCUGGGUAGUACGGUCGCAAGACUAAA